CGUUGAUUACGUCCCUGCCCUUUGUACACACCGCCCGUCGCUACUACCGAUUGAAUGGCUCAGUGAGGCUUUCGGACUGGCCCAGAGAGGUCGGCAACGACCACUCAGGGCUGGAAAGUUAUCCAAACUCGGUCAUUUAGAGGAAGUAAAAGUCGUAACAAGG
rnacentral:rRNA from 1 species